UGGGGAAUAUUGGACAAUGGGCGGAAGCCUGAUCCAGCCAUGCCGCGUGUGUGAAGAAGGCCUUUUGGUUGUAAAGCACUUUAAGCGAGGAGGAGGCUACUUGGAUUAAUACUCUAGGAUAGUGGACGUUACUCGCAGAAUAAGCACCGGCUAACUCUGUGCCAGUAGCCGCGGUAAUACAGAGGGUGCGAGCGUUAAUCGGAUUUACUGGGCGUAAAGCGUGCGUAGGCGGCUUUUUAAGUCGGAUGUGAAAUCCCUGAGCUUAACUUAGGAAUUGCAUUCGAUACUGGGAAGCUAGAGUAUGGGAGAGGAUGGUAGAAUUCCAGGUGUAGCGGUGAAAUGCGUAGAGAUCUGGAGGAAUACCGAUGGCGAAGGCAGCCAUCUGGCCUAAUACUGACGCUGAGGUACGAAAGCAUGGGGAGCAAACAGG
rnacentral:rRNA from 1 species